AGUCGAAGAGGCUAAUUCCGGGCCUCUUAUAAAAAUAAGAAAGAAAAGCCUCGUUUCCUCUAGAUCAGAGAGAUGGCUUCUGGAUUCAUCUUUCCCUGCAAUCCAGCUUCUCCUCCUGGGGCACUCAUACUGCAGACUGGGAUCAUCAUCCAGGCUUUUGCACUGGGCCAGGAAUUUGGGAGUCAUCCUGGAUCCGUCUGCCCCUGUCAACCUUUCUCUGUCAACAGAUAUUUAUUGGGCAUCUCCAACAGCCAGGCCCUGUUCAUGAUGCUGAAGAACAGCAUGUAUAAAACAACCCUGCCCUCACAGGGCGAUCACCAGUGACCUGUGGUGUGGAGCCUCCUUUUACCUCUGUCUCCUCCUUCCCACUGUCACCAUCCUUGGUCCUCCUCUGUCACCUGGAAUACUCCACUUGGUAACCAGCAUGAUCUUCUAAUGCUAGUUUUACCCUUGUCAGCACUUUGCCGAAAACCUCAAAUAAAGAUUUUUUUAAAAUGUGCGAUGGAAAACUAAAGUUAUAAAUUAUA
rnacentral:lncRNA from 1 species